AGCAGCCGCGGUAAUUCCAGCUCCAAUAGCGUAUAUUAAAGUUGUUGCAGUUAAAAAGCUCGUAGUUGAAUUUCGGGGUUAGUAGGUUGGUCAUGCCUCUGGUAUGUACUGGUCUCACUGAUUCCUCCUUCCUGAUGAGCCGUAAUGCCAUUAAUUUGGUGUUGCGGGGAAUUUGGACUGUUACUUUGAAAAAAUUAGAGUGUUUAAAGCAAGCUAACGCUUGAAUACAUUAGCAUGGAAUAAUGAAAUAGGACGUUCGAUCCUAUUUUGUUGGUUUCUAGGAUUGACGUAAUGAUUAAUAGGGAUAGUUGGGGGCAUUAGUAUUCAAUUGUCAGAGGUGAAAUUCUUGGAUUUAUUGAAGACUAACUACUGCGAAAGCAUUUGCCAAGGAUGUUUUCAUUAAUCAAGAACGAAAGUUAGGGGAUCGAAGACGAUCAGAUACCGUCGUAGUCUUAACCAUAAACUGUGCCGACUAGGGAUCGGAUGAUGUUAAUUUUUUAAUGACUCAUUCGGCGCCUUA
rnacentral:misc_RNA from 2 species